GCCGCGAUGGCGGAACUGGUAGACGCGCUGGACUCAAAAUCCAGUGGUAGCAAUACUGUGGGAGUUCGAGUCUCCCUCGCGGCACCA
rnacentral:tRNA from 1 species